rnacentral:rRNA from 1 species
GAGCUCGCUGCCUAUCAGCUAGUUGGCGAGGUAAUGGCUCACCAAGGCCAUGACGGGGAGCUGGACUGACAGGACGACCAACCACCCUGGACCUGAAACACGGCCCGGACUCCUACGGAUGGCAGCACCCUGGAAUUUUUCCCAAUGGAUCCAACCCUGAUGGCGUGUAACGUCCGCGGGAUGAAGGCCCUCGGAGUGUAAAGUCCUGUCAUUGGGGACUAAUGGACAGGCUCAUCCGCUGUUUUGAAUUAACCCAAACAGGACUCACUGGCUCACCCCCCGCCAGCGGCCGCGGAAAUACGGAGACUGCAAUCGUUACUCGGAUUCACUGGGGUUAAAGGGAGCGUAGGUGGACUCAUGUGUCUGACCUCGAAUACCUUCGCUUAACUGCGCUGCUGAGUCCUAAACUAUGAGUCUAGAGACU